GAAGAGUGUGGGGAGUAAAUCGCCUCCACCCUUGUUGCCUUGGAAACAGUUGUGAAAGGGGCCUCUGGUAAUGCUGGCUGGGGAAAAUUUCUCCACUCUCCAAUAAGAAAAAGUAACCAUUACAGUUGAACGGUUUAACUCAUAGAGUUCUUUUCCUCUGACAAGUUCACCACAGAUACAGAAAUUUGUUUUCGUAUAAAGAAUGAGCCCUCAGAUCUGAUUAGCAGGACAUUUGAAAUACCUGUGUUGAUGCAUCAUGCAGAUGGGCUGCGCUUGAGGAAGAAAAAAACAGGCUGGAGCUGGCACCUGUGGACCUGACUGUGGAAAAGAGCGAUGUUGCCUAUAAGCCAAGCACACCAGGGGGAGAUGGUGGCGAGCUGGACAGCAGCAAGGACCAGCACGGCUGGCCAGUCGGGCUCAGCUCCUCACCUUGGGCCAUUUGAUUGUGUUCUGGGCACAGAAGGCCAGUUCUAGGCCCACAAGACAACUAGGACUUGGGAUGUGGGCUUUGAUCUCCUGGAUCGGCUGGCAGGGCAUAGUGAUAGCUCAAUUUCUGCCCUUGCUACAAGAAUUCCUGGCGUCCAAUCCACCGCCAGACAUCUUGGUGGUGCAUAUGGGGGAGAACAACUUAGUUACUCAGUCCAGGUUUCCAUCAUUUUUAGAGUGCAUGCUGACUUAGCAAAAGUACUGGAGUGGAUCCCUGGGUUAAUAGAUAUUUGGUCAAUGCAGAGUAUGGGGGGGGGGCAUGCACCCAGGCAGGAUUGAGAGGGCCCGCCACAAGAUCAACACACACAUGGCCUGCUGUAUUCAGAGCAUUGGGGAUAGUGCCUGGGCACACCCAGACAUCAUAUUUUUAGCCCCUGAAUUGUUUAGUGGGGACGGAGAUCAGCUUUCCCCACAGGGGACGGGUAUUUUUCUUGAAGAUUUCAGAAUGGCAUUGGCUGCUGUUUUGUGUGGUUGGUGGGCAGUAUGGGGGGUUAAGCUAGGCUAACCCCCAUUGUGGCAGGUACAGUGCGGUUGGGAAGAACAUCUUAAGUCAGUGAGCACCUUCAGGUAAGUGUUUAGCUACUAGAUUGGACAGGUCAACUCCCUAGAUGCUUCAUGGCUCAGGGAACUCUGGCUUGGACUAAUCUAUUCUGUCAGGCUAAGCUCCCUGAACAUGCUGGGUGGCUGUCGGGGAGGGGGGGUGACAGCAUGGCAGAGGCCUGACCUUAGGUCGGCUAGGAUGGGCAGCCCCUGCUUUAGAGUAUUGGGGCUGUCUGGACUUGGAGCCAUGGUGCAUCGCCGUUUUUACGCUUUAGGCAGGCAUGCCCUGAGGGUGCAUAUCUUUAGCUGACACACUGUAGGGGUGGAGAGCCAA